UUCGUCCUCGUCCAGGGGUUGCAAGCCGGUCAAUGAGCGUUAUGUGAGGCUGGCUUUGCCGACACCCUAACAACAAUUUAGCGAGUGCACUACUUCUUGUGCUCGCAAUUUUUGGAGCC